CCUACGGGAGGCAGCAGUGGGGAAUAUUGCACAAUGGGCGCAAGCCUGAUGCAGCGACGCCGCGUGAGGGAUGACGGCCUUCGGGUUGUAAACCUCUUUCACCAGGGACGAAGCGCAAGUGACGGUACCUGGAGAAGAAGCACCGGCCAACUACGUGCCAGCAGCCGCGGUAAUACGUAGGGUGCGAGCGUUGUCCGGAAUUACUGGGCGUAAAGAGCUCGUAGGCGGUUUGUCGCGUCGUCUGUGAAAUUCUGCAACUCAAUUGUAGGCGUGCAGGCGAUACGGGCAGACUUGAGUACUACAGGGGAGACUGGAAUUCCUGGUGUAGCGGUGAAAUGCGCAGAUAUCAGGAGGAACACCGGUGGCGAAGGCGGGUCUCUGGGUAGUAACUGACGCUGAGGAGCGAAAGCGUGGGUAGCGAACAGGAUUAGAUACCCUGGUAGUCCACGCCGUAAACGGUGGGUACUAGGUGUGGGUUCCUUUUCACGGGAUCCGUGCCGUAGCUAACGCAUUAAGUACCCCGCCUGGGGAGUACGGCCGCAAGGCUAAAACUCAAAUGAAUUGACGG
rnacentral:rRNA from 1 species